rnacentral:rRNA from 1 species
GACGAACGCUGGCGGCGUGCUUAACACAUGCAAGUCGAACGGAAAGGCCCUGCUUUUGUGGGGUGCUCGAGCGGCGAACGGGUGAGUAACACGUGAGUAACCUGCCCUUGACUUUGGGAUAACUUCAGGAAACUGGGGCUAAUACCGGAUAGGAGCUCCUGCUGCAUGGUGGGGGUUGGAAAGUUUCGGCGGUUGGGGAUGGACUCGCGGCUUAUCAGCUUGUUGGUGGGGUAGUGGCUUACCAAGGCUUUGACGGGUAGCCGGCCUGAGAGGGUGACCGGCCACAUUGGGACUGAGAUACGGCCCAGACUCCUACGGGAGGCAGCAGUGGGGAAUAUUGCACAAUGGGCGGAAGCCUGAUGCAGCAACGCCGCGUGCGGGAUGACGUCCUUCGGGUUGUAAACCGCUUUCGCCUGUGACGAAGCGUGAGUGACGGUAAUGGGUAAAGAAGCACCGGCUAACUACGUG